rnacentral:rRNA from 1 species
GUGGGGAAUAUUGGACAAUGGGCGAAAGCCUGAUCCAGCCAUGCCGCGUGUGUGAAGAAGGUCUUCGGAUUGUAAAGCACUUUAAGUUGGGAGGAAGGGCAGUAAGUUAAUACCUUGCUGUUUUGACGUUACCGACAGAAUAAGCACCGGCUAACUUCGUGCCAGCAGCCGCGGUAAUACGAAGGGUGCAAUCGUUAAUCGGAAUUACUGGGCGUAAAGCGCGCGUAGGUGGUUUUGUAAGUUGGAGGUGAAAUCCCCGGGCUCAACCUGGGAACUGCAUCAAAAACUGCAUGACUAGAGUACGGUAGAGGGUAGUGGAAUUUCCUGUGUAGCGGUGAAAUGCGUAGAUAUAGGAAGGAACACCAGUGGCGAAGGCGACUACCUGGACUGAUACUGACACUGAGGUGCGAAAGCGUGGUGAGCAAACAGGAUUAGAAACCCUAGUAGUCC